AUCUAGCUGACGACUCCUAAUUAGGAUGAAACACGCGUCUUAGAU
rnacentral:hammerhead_ribozyme from 1 species